UUCGGCACAGCCAUUUCGCCGCUAUUGAUUCAAUGCUGACUUGUUUGACAUCAGACAUUUUAACGUGUCUCUUGUUCUGCCUCCUCUUCCUUCUCCGUAUAUGUUCAUGCAUGUGUCUCCCUCCUUCUCUCUCUGCAUGUGUAUAUUUCUGUGCAUGCAUGUGUGUCUGUCCAGCAUCAGAUAAAUUGAAUGUCUAGGUGUUCAUGUCAAAUCAUCAGCGUCCAAACAGCUGUAUCCAACUGUCUCAUUUAGCACCCAUACAAACUCCCAUUGCAAUACACACACACACACA